UGAGAAGAAGAAUAGGUGUGCAUGGAUAAUGAUGAACCUUCAACCAUCUAUUUUUAUUUUUUUUACAGGUUUUCCUCAUUUGGAAGACUUCUAGUCACUGUGCUACUUCAGACUGUCAAACUUCCUAUUUCUUUAGGUAGGUAUGAGUGGAUGGACAAAUGCAGUUUGGCAUUGUCAUUCUUCACCCUGGGUAUCAUUGUUUUACAGAUUGGGACAUUGUGUGCAAAAGGCUAGCAGCAGAGGCAUGUAACCUUCAACAGCUGAAGCUUGUUUUCCAUAGGUAUUCCUGAUUGUAUACCUAUCUAGCCAUUGUAGGAAUUCAGCCUUGCCAGUUCAUUCGGGAUAUGCUUUUGGUUUUUCCUGGUUAAGAAGAAACUUUGCUACUGUGGAACUUCAGCCUCAACAGUUUAUUUGGGCAUCUGUUUUUCUGUUUUUCCGUGGUAGGCAUGAAUGAACAAAUUAAGUCUGUUGUCAUUUCUCAAAAUGGGCAUCAUUUUUGGGGGGAGGGUCACUGUUUGGUUGUUUACCUUUUCAAAUUCCUGGGGCCUCACAACAUGUACUAAUGGAUGAAGGUCUAGAUUGCUUUGAAUGUGUGUGCUUCUUCAACCUAAGCUUCUCUUUGUUUUACAAGUUUUCUGUGGCAUAGGCUGUGGAGUGCUUCACUUUUGGAAGGUGAGUGAGGAUGCAAGUGUUUUUGGCAGGGGAGUGGUGUUGGUUUGUAAGCAAGAAUGUCCUCUUUGUUUUUCAAGAUUGGCUUUGUUUUGGCAAAUGUUAUGGAUGAGCCUAAGCUGUGGUUGGUGAAUGUGGUUUUGUGCUUGUGGUAAGGGGACAGCUUUAGAAUACUCUAAAUCAGUGCUGUCCAACUUCUGUUGUACCGAGGGCCGGAAUUUUUCCGACCUACG